GGGCUUCUGGCGCAACGGUAGCGCGCCUGUCUGGCAGGCAGGAGGUUGCGGGUUCGAAACUUUCAUCGCGAAAAUCCCG
rnacentral:tRNA from 1 species